rnacentral:rRNA from 1 species
AUUGAACGCUGGCGGCAGGCCUAACACAUGCAAGUCGAGCGAGCGGCGGACGGGUGAGUAAUGUCUGGGAAACUGCCUGAUGGGGGGGGAGAACUCCUGGAAACGGUAGCUCAUACCGCAUACCAUCAGAUGUGCGCAGAUGGGAUUAGCUAGUAGGUGGGGUAACGGCUCACCUAGGCGACGAUCCCUAGCUGGUCUGAGAGGAUGAUCAGCCACACUGGAACUGAGACACGGUCCAGACUCCUACGGGAGGCAGCAGUGGGGAAUAUUGCACAAUGGGCGCAAGCCUGAUACAGCCAUGCCGCGUGUGUGAAGAAGGCCUUCGGGUUGUAAAGCACUUUCAGCUGGGAGGCGUUACCCGCAGAAGAAGCACCGGCUAACUCCGUGCCAGCAGCCGCGGUAAUUC